UUAUGCAUUUACGUAAUUAAAAUUAUAAUUUUAAGUCAUAAGUCUCGCUAAGCUAAGGCACAUUUUAUUCUUAGAUUAUUAAUUUUGUCAAUAAAGAAAAUUUUAAUAUUUACUUGUUGGUCAUAUUUACUAAAUCGAAAUGUAAUAAAAUAGAUUUAAGAAUAUAGCUAGUAUGAAAAGUUGCGUAUUUGAUCUACAGACUACCACUUUAACAGAAGAUAAUUGGGCAAUGGCUAUUUGUUUAUCGACGACGUCUGAGAUAAAAUUCGUUCGUAAUAGGCUAUUUUUUAAAAAUAGGGACAACUUAUACACGACAAGAUGUCAAUUCAGUACGUCUAUCUUUUUACCUUUGGUACUGAUCACUGGCUGUGUGCUUGAAGCUGGAAUUCCAGUGACGUAACGAGCUUAACUCGCGCUCGGGGCGCAAUACCUUUUUAGCGCCCCUCCAUUCGAAAACCAUAUAAUAUGUCCAGUGACUUUUUUUGCGGACCAUUUGACGUCCCUUUGUGAGGAGCGCCCGGGGCAUGACGCCUUGCCCUACGCCUCGCUACGCCACUGGAAUUGAAAGAUCAAACUGAUAACAAAUGCUUAACAGACGACGGCCGUUGCUGUUUAUAUUACCUAUACCAUAGUAUCUUCCGAGAACGUUCGGCCAUGUUUCAAAAUCGCGACCCAUUCUAGCAUCGAAAUUACCCAACGGUACGCUCACGCGGUGAGAUAUUUGCUAGAGUUUGUUUCAGCCUCUCAUAAAUUUUGUCUUUUAUAUCGCCAAACCGAUCCACCGUAGGUUAGGUAGUAGUAGCAUUUAUUAAAUUUAAACAGUUGUUCGAUACAUAGAUAUAUAUUUUGGACAUUUUUCCAAUCUUCUGACUUUAGAUAUAGUACAGAUAAACACGAAUUUGGCAAGUGGCCUAAAAAUAACGCGGCCUAAAUGUAUUUAUAAAGGAAUGUCCGUCAUAAUGUAUAAUGCAAUAUGCCACAAUAAAAUUAUAUAUAUAGAUAUAUGUAAAUUUUUAAGAUUUAAUAGAUGUUAUAGAUGUUAGUUCAUAAUAAGUACUAGAUCUGAAUUACUGCUUGAAAUGUAUAUUUUGUUUCCAAGAAUUAUAAUAUUAAUGUUAAUAUAAAUACCGUAAAAUCUAUAUCCCAUAAAUCUUGAGAUUAACGAAUAUAAUUUAGUAAAAUGUAAGGUUUAUUACAAUCUACCUACAAUUUUUAGGACUUUGGUAUAUCUAGCAUAUACUAUAUGAUAUUGAAGCUCAAAGUAGAAAUUCGACGGCCGUCACAGAUUAAAAGUAAAAGACUGACUAUAACAAUGUCUUUGAGAUCAAAUCUAACCAAAUAUAAUUGUGCAUUUGUUGAAAUUUAGUAACGCUUUGGAAUAGAAAGCUAUGAAAUAUCCUUCACAGUAGAAAAAAAUUAUAUAUAUGUCUGACUGCCAAAUGUAUAGGUAUAUCUUCGCUGGACAGUUUUUUAAAUAUUUCUUAUUAAAUAUUCCGAGUAUUUUAUAAUAAAUUAAGCUAGAAUUACGCCCAAAAUCAAGCUUCUUAAUUUAACAAAUAAACAUUAAUUGUAAUUAAUUUUUCUCAUAUGUAUUGUAUUCCAUUUUGAUCAACUAUUUAAUCAAAAUCGAAUAGGCUACUAAAAUUUCAAUUUAAAUGAAAAUUUGAACUUUUUAGUAGUAGGUAUCUAACGUAAAAUUACUCAAAUAUCAUAAUGCUAAGUUUAUCAGGAAUAAUAUACCUGUGACAACUUUUAUAUAAAAUAAGAGAUUACUAGCUAAAUAAAAAAUGUUAUAAUUAAUAUAUAUUUUUAUCAUUUAUUAAUCUUAAAAAAGUUAGUAAAAUAUUAAAUACUUCAAAAAAAUAAUAAUUGGUGUGUAUACUUAUAUACGCACGUAAGAAGUUAUACUUCAUUGGCUAGCUAACUUCUUCGAUGGCUAACUUCAGGGUGUCGGUUUUUUUUGGGCCGGUGUCGCGCGCAUCUUAAAAAUUUUGCUCUCAUAAUUGUUCCUUAAUUCGCCAAAAGAAGUAUAACUUCAAAAAAAGAAAAAACAAUCUUUUUCUGUAAUGUGCAAUUUUAAAUGUGACAAUUUUUAAGAAGAUGUUAUAGGGAUUGUAAAGUAAGAAAAAUAAAAAGUUGUCUGAAAUAUGGAAAUACAAGAAAUGACCCAGUAUGAGACUUUGAUGUCGUUCGAAUUUUAAAUUCUAGGAAUUUUAUGAUAGGUUGACAUCUGUAUAAAGUAAAAGAAUUUAUACAAUUUAAGAGUGUAUGUGAUGUCUUCUCUAUGAUGACUGUAGGGUAUAAAGUUCGCCAAAUUAUUAAGAAUCAUUUUUCUACUUGAAUAAUAAUGAAAUAAUUUUUCUGCUUGUUUCACCAGUUUUGGAUAACGCUAAUUGACGGAUGACGAUAUCCAACAUAAAAGUUUUUGAUGUACCAUUCUUUUUACCAAUAAAUUUCACUGAAAAAAAAAAAACUUCUCAAAUUCUAUUCAUUAAUAUUAAAUCUUAAAAUUGUAGUUUUCUAAAUUACAACAGGUCCCAGCUAAUGCUCUAUUAUAUUUUCAACUUGUGUAACAGGCCCUAAGUGAUCUAAAAUCUAAAAAAUAUAUAUAUAAUUGAUGUACAGUUAAAGCAAAAAGCUCUAAAUUAAUCUCUAAUACGAUAAACAGGUAACGGUGCCUGAUCCAAGUUGAUUAUUAAACUUUUUGAUUCAAUGUCGAAUAUGAUGGUGAAAAAUAAAAAUAUAUCAUAAACUUAACUGUUUGAUAUAAUUAUUCGUCAAUUAACUUUAUCAAGAACCGUUGAGAUAAUAAGCCUUAAUAAAUUGUGUGUAUUAUUACUAUUGAUUAACAUUAUAAUUGGAGAUAGUACGUUAAUUACAUUUAAAAAAAUGACGUUAUUUUGUAUUGUUACUUACGUUUUUAUAAUGAUUAAAAUAAAAGUUAUAAUAAUUAUAAGUACUUAUAAUAAGUUUUUAUACUGGUUAAUUUUCUCGUUUCAUUCCAUGCUUAUUAUUUAUGUCAUUGUGUGUUUGUAAAUAUAAUUAAAAUAAGUUAAAAAACGAAACAAAAAAAAAAAAAAAAAAAAAAAAAA
rnacentral:misc_RNA from 1 species